rnacentral:rRNA from 1 species
UACGAGUGCGUCGAGCGUUAUCCGGAAUUACUGGGCGUAAAGCGUGCGCAGGCGGUUGUGCAAGACCGAUGUGAAAUCCCCGGGCUUAACCUGGGAAUGGCAUUGGUGACUGCACGGCUAGAGUGUGUCAGAGGGGGGUAGAAUUCCACGUGUAGCAGUGAAAUGCGUAGAGAUGUGGAGGAAUACCGAUGGCGAAGGCAGCCCCCUGGGAUAACACUGACGCUCAUGCACGAAAGCGUGGGGAGCAAACAGG